rnacentral:rRNA from 1 species
UGCAAGUCGAGCGGAAGGCCCUUCGGGGUACUCGAGCGGCGAACGGGUGAGUAACACGUGAGCAACCUGCCCCAAGCUUUGGGAUAACCCUCGGAAACGGGGGCUAAUACCGAAUAGGACUUCUGGCCGCAUGGCUGGUGGUGGAAAGUUUUUCGGCUUGGGAUGGGCUCGCGGCCUAUCAGCUUGUUGGUGGGGUGAUGGCCUACCAAGGCGACGACGGGUAGCCGGCCUGAGAGGGCGACCGGCCACACUGGGACUGAGACACGGCCCAGACUCCUACGGGAGGCAGCAGUGGGGAAUAUUGCACAAUGGGCGGAAGCCUGAUGCAGCGACGCCGCGUGAGGGAUGACGGCCUUCGGGUUGUAAACCUCUUUCAGCAGGGACGAAGCGAGAGUGACGGUACCUGCAGAAGAAGCACCGGCCAACUACGUGCCAGCAGCCCGGGGGUAAUUCA